ACGAACGCUGGCGGCGUGCUUAACACAUGCACGUCGCACGGAAAGGCCCUGCUUUUGUGGGGUGCUCGAGUGGCGAACGGGUGAGUAACACGUGAGUAACCUGCCCUUGACUUUGGGAUAACUUCAGGAAACUGGGGCUAAUACCGGAUAGGAGCUCCUGCUGCAUGGUGGGGGUUGGAAAGAUUCGGCGGUUGGGGAUGGACUCGCGGCUUAUCAGCUUGUUGGUGGGGUAGUGGCUUACCAAGGCUUUGACGGGUAGCCGGCCUGAGAGGGUGACCGGCCACAUUGGGACUGAGAUACGGCCCAGACUCCUACGGGAGGCAGCAGUGGGGAAUAUUGCACAAUGGGCGGAAGCCUGAUGCAGCAACGCCGCGUGCGGGAUGACGGCCUUCGGGUUGUAAACCGCUUUCGCCUGUGACGAAGCGUGAGUGACGGUAAUGGGUAAAGAAGCACCGGCUAACUACGUG
rnacentral:rRNA from 1 species